rnacentral:rRNA from 1 species
AUUGAACGCUGGCGGCAUGCUUUACACAUGCAAGUCGAACGGUAACAGGUUAAGCUGACGAGUGGCGAACGGGUGAGUAAUGCAUCGGAACGUGCCCGGUCGUGGGGGAUAACGCAGCGAAAGCUGCGCUAAUACCGCAUACGAUCUGAGGAUGAAAGCGGGGGACCGUAAGGCCUCGCGCGAUCGGAGCGGCCGAUGUCAGAUUAGGUAGUUGGUGGGGCAAAGGCUCACCAAGCCGACGAUCUGUAGCUGGUCUGAGAGGACGACCAGCCACACUGGGACUGAGACACGGCCCAGACUCCUACGGGAGGCAGCAGUGGGGAAUUUUGGACAAUGGGCGCAAGCCUGAUCCAGCAAUGCCGCGUGCAGGAAGAAGGCCUUCGGGUUGUAAACUGCUUUUGUACGGAGCGAAAAGGUCUUCCCUAAUACGGGAGGCUGAUGACGGUACCAUAAGAAUAAGCACCGGCUAACUACGUGCCAGCAGCCGCAGUAACAC